rnacentral:rRNA from 1 species
GACGAACGCUGGCGGCGCGCCUAACACAUGCAAGUCGAACGGGACCAUUUUAGAGUUUACUUUGGAAUGGUUUAGUGGCGGACGGGUGAGUAACACGUGAGCAACCUACCUUUCAGAGGGGGAUAACAGUUGGAAACGACUGCUAAUACCGCAUAACGUUGUAAAAGGGCAUCCAUUUACAACCAAAAGAGAAAUCUGCUGAAAGAUGGGCUCGCGGCCGAUUAGAUAGUAGGCGGGGUAACGGCCCACCUAGUCAACGAUCGGUAGCCGGACUGAGAGGUUGAACGGCCACAUUGGGACUGAGACACGGCCCAG